CCGAGUUCAUGCCCCUCGCGGGUAGAUCUCCCACCCUAUGUUAUCAUUACUUUGUUGCUUUGGCGGGCCGCCCUGGCUCUUGCCAGGGCUACCGGCUCCCGGCUGGUACGCGCCCGCCAGAGAACCCUAAAACCUCUGAAUGUUAUGUUGUCCGAGUACUAUCUUUAAUAGUCA
rnacentral:misc_RNA from 1 species